GAUGAACGCUGGCGGCGUGCCUAAUACAUGCAAGUCGAGCGAACAGACGAGGAGCUUGCUCCUCUGACGUUAGCGGCGGACGGGUGAGUAACACGUGGAUAACCUACCUAUAAGACUGGGAUAACUUCGGGAAACCGGAGCUAAUACCGGAUAAUAUAUUGAACCGCAUGGUUCAAUAGUGAAAGACGGUUUUGCUGUCGCUUAUAGAUGGAUCCGCGCCGCAUUAGCUAGUUGGUAAGGUAACGGCUUACCAAGGCGACGAUGCGUAGCCGACCUGAGAGGGUGAUCGGCCACACUGGAACUGAGACACGGUCCAGACUCCUACGGGAGGCAGCAGUAGGGAAUCUUCCGCAAUGGGCGAAAGCCUGACGGAGCAACGCCGCGUGAGUGAUGAAGGUCUUCGGAUCGUAAAACUCUGUUAUUAGGGAAGAACAAAUGUGUAAGUAACUAUGCACGUCUUGACGGUACCUAAUCAGAAAGCCACGGCUAACUACGU
rnacentral:rRNA from 1 species